rnacentral:lncRNA from 1 species
AGGAAUAGAAGACACAUGUAUGUAUGGUUCAUACCCGAUAAGCCCAUCAUUUCAUAGUAAAUUGCAAAAGCGACAAUAAUUGGUUACAAUUGAAGAAUUAAAAAAGAACUACAUAACUAUACGUGACAAUGAAUGGAAUAUGUACGUAGGAAGAGGACAUCUCAACAACCACAGGACAUCUCAAGAGGACAUCUCAACAACCACGGCAGCGAUCGAUAGCUGGAGACCACUUUGGUUCAUGGUUGCACAUAUGAUCGAUAGCUGGAGACCACUUUGGUUCAUGGUUGCACAUAUCUCACAUAACGAUUUGUCCCUAUCACUAUAGCCGAAGAUUUCGCACUCAAAUCUUCACACUUUACUACAACUAAUUUUCUUAGUGCGAAAUCACCAGGUCGCUUCAUUCAUGUUAUUAGGUCCACGUAAGGCUGCAUGCCCCGCGUAAGACUCAACAGUUUUCUUCGUACGAAAUCUGUCUCAUUCAUGUGAUUCGGUUCAACUAUGGCUGAAUGCCCAUCACUUUCCACAGUACCGCUGCCUCGUCGCUGUGCAAUAUCUCGUCGUCGUGAGACUCGAUCAUUUUUUCUUCGUGCUAAAUCACCCUGUCUCGUCGUUGUCCAAUAUCUUGUUAUGGUGAGACUCGAUAAUUUUUUUCUUCGUGCUAAAUCACCCUGUCUCGUCGCUGUCCAAUAUCUUGUCAUCGUGAGACUUGAUCAUUUUUUCUUCGUGCUAAAUCACCCUGUCUUCGCUGUCCAAUAUCUUGUCGUCGUGAGACUUGAUCAUUUUUUCUUCGUGCUAAAUCACCCUGUUUUGUCGCUGUCCAAUAUCUUGUCGUCGUGCCACAUCUCAAAUUUCAACCCUUUCUAAAUUCAUUUUUUUUUUCAUGCACUUGGUGAUUUGUUUUUGUGCUAACUGACCAUGAAAUUGAAAAGGACUACAAAUGAAUGCUAAAAGGUUGAAAUAUGGCAUGGUGUCAUAAUUUCACACACAUAGCAUGUACUAAAAAGUUGAGCGGGUUACGGCAAAAACUGGAUGCACUUUGUGUACAAGCUGGACCAUCUACUUCGAAGAAUGAGGGUUUCGGACGAAAAUUCAUCUGUUACAAAGGCAUUUUUUUUUAAAUUAUUUCAACUCCACACUUUUUGUGAAUUUAAUAUGCAUCAUUCAAUGACACAUCCUUAAAUUUCAACCCUUUCUAACAUCAUUUUCUAUUUUCCAUGCACUUAAUGAAUUUUUUAGCUAAAUGACCCUGAAAUUGAAAAGCACUAUAAAUAAAUUCUGAAAAGGUUGAAAUUUAACAUGUGACACAUAGCAUGUUCUAGAAAGAUGAGUGGGUUACGGAAAAAACUAGAUUCACUCCAGAGCUCACAUACAGAAACAAUAGGUCAGCACGUUAGAGGGGAAAGCAAAAUUUGAUCCAACCGCGUGGUUGAACACGGAUGGAUGCAAGACCAAACCGUGCUGACGGUCCAGGAUGUUCGAAGCUUGAAGUCUUGACAGAUAAGGGUUGUGAUGAGGGGAACAACAAGUGGUUUGCACCAUGUCCCAACCAUAUUUCCAUCUUCCAGAUUGGGAGCAAGCUUAUUUGGUUCAGAAAGGGAAAUUCUUGCUUGAAUUUUAGACUCGAGGGCCCUCAGACAGACUCAAACCAAGGGUGAUUGUCAUUACCUGACUUGAGAGCAUCCUUGUUUGGUUCAAGAAGGAAAAAUCCUUGCAUGAAUUUUAGCUAGUUUCUUUAUGCAUGUAAAAGCAAUGCUCGAAACUAUAACAGAUAUGUGUCAGGAAACCACAUAAGGAGAAUUCUAUGGAGAUAGAGCAAAAAUGGUUGGCAAGAUGAAUGGCACUUGUAGUUGCAUGGAGACAUUUUUUAACCCUGUGGGCCUUAUUUUAAUUAUCAUGGUGGAUCCCAGCUUGUGGCAGCAGUAAUGUAUCUUGGAGAUGUUACUUCCUUGAAAAGUAUGAAUACACUUGAAGGACCGAAAAUAAACAGGUGUACACGUGACAUUUGAUGAAGCAAGGAAAGUUCGUACUUACACUCUAUAUAUAAAUACACUUCUUCUUCGGUACAACCCCAAAUACAAGGACGGCUGAGAUUAAACGAUACCCCUUCGUAACAAAGAGCAGAAUUGUCUUUUCCCCGUCCCGACGUACGCACGUCAGCCCGACGGGCGCCAGCUGACGAAACGGCGACGUACAGGAGGCCCGGUACACGCGUCGUACCCGCGUCCACCCGCUGCGACGUGGCGUCUUCACGUCGGUCUGACAGCGGUCAAUCCGUCGGUUCCCGAGACCGCGACAUUAAUUCCGCGCUGCGUCGUCAGUUCGCGUCGGUUCCCGACGCCGCCGCCAUUAAUCCCGCGCUGCGUCGCCAGUCCGCGCCGGUUCCCGAAGCCGCCGCCAUUAACCACCGCGUCGCCAGCUCAUCGCGUCGGUUCCCGAAGACGACAUUAAUCACCAGUCAGCGCCUCGUCGUCCGAUGCCGUCGUUAGCCCGUUGGUUCGCCGGCUCCCGAGGUGACGCCAUUAAUGACGGCCCCGUCGUCAGAGCCCAUCGCGUCGGUUCUCGAGACCGUCGUCGUUGGCCCGUUGGUUCGACGGCUCCCGAGGCGACGUGCAUUCACUCCGGGGGAGUUACGCCGGCCAGCUUCCCCGUCGCCUCCCCUACCGUCGCGGCGCUAUAUAUACCCGUCGUCCCGCGGCUCGUCGGCACACCCGUCGCUCCCCUGCUCUCCUUCUCUCCCCCGCUCUUCGUCGUCCCGCCGCAGAUCCCCGUCGUCCCGACGUUCUCUUCCUCCCUCCCCCGUUCUCCGACGUCCCGACGGUGGAUCAUGUCGGCGGCAGCAGCUCCGGCGGCGGCGGCGCGCCGGAGAGCAACUGGCGCUAGAGCCUCGACAAGCCGCUGACACAAGAGCUGUACAACUUCGGCCUCCUCGUCCCGCCGGGGUGCCGCCUUGCAAAACCGUGGAGUAUUUGCAAGGACGGCUAUCCGACGCUGGACAACCCCGCGACGCUGGAGCAGCUCCGGGUCCACCCUGGCGACCCCUACAACACCCGCGGCCGGCACGCCUAUUGGGAC